CCUACGUGCGGCAGCAGUGAGGAAUAUUGGUCAAUGGGCGUAAGCCUGAACCAGCCAAGUCGCGUGAGGGAUGAAGGUUCUAUGGAUCGUAAACCUCUUUUAUAAGGGAAUAAAGUGUGGGACGUGUCCUGUUUUGUAUGUACCUUAUGAAUAAGGAUCGGCUAACUCCGUGCCAGCAGCCGCGGUAAUACGGAGGAUCCGAGCGUUAUCCGGAUUUAUUGGGUUUAAAGGGUGCGUAGGCGGCCUUUUAAGUCAGCGGGGAAAGUCUUUGGCUAAACCAUAGAAUUGCCGUUGAAACUGGGAGGCUUGAGUAUGGUUGAGGCAGGCGGAAUGCGGGGGGUAGCGGUGAAAUGCUUAGAUAUCACGCAGAACCCCGAUUGCGAAGGCAGCCUGCCAAGCCAUGACUGACGCUGAUGCACGAAAGCGUGGGGAUCAAACAGGAUUAGAUACCCGAGUAGUC
rnacentral:rRNA from 1 species